AACGAACGGCUGGCGGCAGGCCUAACACAUGCAAGUCGAGCGCCCCGCAAGGGGAGCGGCGGACGGGUGAGUAACGCGUGGGAACGUACCCUUUGCUACGGAAUAGCCUCGGGAAACUGGGAGUAAUACCGUAUGUGCCCUUCGGGGGAAAGAUUUAUCGGCAAAGGAUCGGCCCGCGUUGGAUUAGGUAGUUGGUGGGGUAAUGGCCUACCAAGCCGACGAUCCAUAGCUGGUUGAGAGGAUGAUCAGCCACACUGGGACUGAGACACGGCCCAGACUCCUACGGGAGGCAGCAGUGGGGAAUCUUAGACAAUGGGCGCAAGCCUGAUCUAGCCAUGCCGCGUGAGCGAUGAAGGCCCUAGGGUUGUAAAGCUCUUUCAGUGGGGAAGAUAAUGACUGUACCCACAGAAGAAGCCCCGGCUAACUCCGUG
rnacentral:rRNA from 1 species